rnacentral:rRNA from 1 species
UACAGGGGGUGCAAACGUUGCUCGGAAUUAUUGGGCGUAAAGCGCACGUAGGCGGUUCGUUAUGUCGGAUGUGAAAGCCCUUGGCUCAACUGAGGAAGUGCAUCCGAAACUGGCGAGCUAGAGUAUGUAAGAGGGUCGCGGAAUUCCCGGUGUAGCGGUGAAAUGCGUAGAGAUCGGGAGGAACACCAGAGGCGAAGGCGGCGACCUGGACAAGUACUGACACUCAACUACGAAAGCGUGGGGAGCAAACAGG